GAUCUACUCCCUCCGUCCGAAAAUACUUGUCCUAGAAAUGGAUAUAAUAGAUGUAUCUAUAACUAAAAUAAGUCUAGAUACAUUCAUCUCUAAGGCAAGUAUUUUCGGACGGAGGGAGUACUUC
rfam:Hordeum vulgare subsp. vulgare, WGS project CAJW01000000 data, contig: morex_contig_76080